CGUGACGGCUAACGAACCCUGGACGCGCGUAUCGUAUCGAGCGGUGGCGCGUACAUGCCAGGGACGUAUAUAGGCACGAGACUGUAUUAUACAAGUACCAUCCGAGUUGCGGACGUCCCGAUAUUGACUACUCCAGCACGAUUAGGGCAUAACCUUGAAAUUAUGAGCGACCGAAAGACCCGAAGGAAGUUGUCAAGUCUCUCGAGCUGAAACACCUGCCAGGAUCAAAAAAGUUGUUAGAAUGGCCAAUUAUGCGUAUGGCGCGCUUACUUGAGAUUCCUCAACUCGAAAUACGGGAUCCUUGAGUCCCACGAAGAUGUUUCUGAAGCAAGUUAAAACCUCGGCAACGAGAAAAACAAAACGGAUUGUCAAUCGAGAUGGCCAAUAAACACAGUCGCAAGUGGUUGUAAGGUGCAGUUGUAUGUCCACUUUUCAACUAGUAUUAGUUUUAAUCUCGGUUCAACUUCCUUCGCUCUCUUCUUCUCGUUUUAAACGUAAGAACAACCGAGAUUAAAGUUAAUUUACGUUGAUGGAAAUGGAUAUGUUGUAUGUAUGUAACUGCGCCUCAAUAGUUUACAAUAGAGUACCUCUAGUACUCUAGUACCUCUAGAGUACUCUAGUUUACAACCGAUUACAGAGCCACGUUUGCGCUAUCGUAGAAGCCGUAGAAGCAGGGGCCUUAUUUCACGCGUCAUGGCACCCCUGCCGCUUGAACGUAUGCACCAAAUGUCGAUUAGCGCCAACUUCGCUCGAGUCGUCGUCCUGCGUCCUGCUCCCCCCUCCUCUUCCACCCUCCUUCUAUCGUCAUGUGUGGUGAUAGCAUCGUACGCGAAACCACGAUUUAGAAAAAGGCUCGUUAACUCGCGCCACAGCUUCUUCAGUGACUUCAGUGCGUUCACUGCCGGCUGUUUAAUGCGCUUGAAGUCAAUUAAAACUUAGAUCGGCUAGUUGUUUGCUAAUGUGUACUCGGAGACUUAUCCUCCACGAAGAUAAAAUCUUCCAAGUUUUUCAACAUGGAGAAACGUAAAUACACGCAUCGCGUGCAAUUUUCUAACAAAACCCGAGGGAAUUUGACUUGGAGAAAGCUCUCCAUAUCGUGAAGCAACAUGCAUGCAUUCCCAGGAGCAGAAGCGCCGCUUAAUCAGAUCUGAUUCGAUGAUCGGCGGAAGGCGAGUCUUCCGCUUUCCGAUAGCGCAUGUAGCGCAUGGUGUGCUAAUAUUGACACACACGUGCGAGUUUAUAUUCGCGACGCAUGAAUGGGUAGGGCGCAAACGCAAGCACGCACACAUAUACGUGGAUACAGCAACGGGGGAGGCAGAUCCGAGGUUGCGCCAGGGGAGCGGCCGGUUCGUAGCAGCGGUGGAGGAGCAGGAGGAGGUAGCGACGACGGCGGCGGCGGCGGCGGCUGCCGCGGCAGACGGUUUCAUCGAUUGGCAUUGCCGGCAUCGUCCGAAGAAGAGUGUGAGCGGGGUCCGUGAACUCCGCGCCGACGGCGUAUCCCGCUUUUCAUGGUCAUGGAUAAGAGGGCGGUUUCUCCCUCGAUGGAAGGCCGAGAGUCGCGUUCUUCGACGCGCGACUUAUGAUCAGGGAUCAGGACUGCCGUAACAUCAUUGAUAUCUUAUUCUCAUUACUUCCUUUCUCCUCUGGAGUCUCACAUUCAAAUUGAAUGAAAUGUUUUAGCGUUCUAGUCGGAAAGGCAUAUUCAAUAUGGAUUUGAAUUUCAAAGCUGUGCUGGAAUGAUGUUCCAUUCACGGUUCUGAUGUUACAAAUACACUUUCUAUCUGUUUAAUUAUAAACGAACACGAAACUAGCUGAAGGAGAAAUAAGGCCGCCGUCAUCCGUGCGCGAAUCCUAUAACUCUUAGGAAAACGAAGGUAUUGUCCGGCUGACGUGGCAAGAUACAAGAGAACAUUCUGGGUUUACGUUCGCCUAGUAACACCACUGUUCGCGAGGCAGGAACGGUCUCGCGACUUAGGAGACGUUAAUCGCGAGCGAACCGAGCCGGGUAAACGCAAUUGCGGGCAUGGAAGCGCACGAUUCACGACGGCGGACUUGCACUUAUACAAAAGUCUCCUCGUUCGCCUUGAAACGAGAAUACACGCUCAUGAUAAAAUGCAAAUGCAACGCCCGACAACGAUUCUUCCUUAGGAAAUUACGAAACGCAAGGAAAUCAUCACAAUCGAUGCACAACGACAAAUAAAGAAAAUUAUUCUAAUUAAAAGAAUCAGUGCUGAACCUGCGAUACAUAAUUAUGGAAAAUAAGCAGUGGACCAAUAACGAAGACGACAACAACGACGACAAGAGGAAGACACAUAUGCGUGCUCCGCGUGCGUUGUAUGCAUCUGUCAAAACCACGCCCUUAUCCCCAUCCUGCUGCCUCGCGCUAUUCCUAUGUAUACGAAGGAAGAGUAAGGAAGUUCGCCGACAGGCUUUCCACGAUUGAAAUAAUCUGCCUCGCUUCGGAAGAGCGAUUAAAUUUAAUUAUUAUUCAGCAGUUCACGUCUAAUUAGACAUUAAAAGUCAAAUUAUAUUUUAAAAGCAAUCUCUUAGAGCAAAUAGAAAUGCAUAGCAAAAUGCAAAAAAAUAUGAUUAGCAAAAAAAUUAUAUAUAAUGGUAAAAGUAUGAUUAAAAAAUGAUGAGAUGUGUCAUAUAUAAUAAUUACGUGAAACAAACGGAAAGCGUCGAAUAAGUUUUUGUGAGCUGUUACAUCUAAUUUCGCGUUUGUACAAAUUCACACAUUCGGAAAGUAUCGUUAGAACUCAUCUUGAUCGCUCCUUCGGAGCGUUUCAAAUUGCUUCGAUUGCUAGAAAACAUGAAUUCGCGCGAUACAACCCACUCGUUAAUUCGGGCUCAUUAAUCGCGUUCGUUCUUAUCGAUUCUCAUGCAUAUGCAUAAUUACAGUGAGAUACGAUACAGUACGUAUGAGGUAUCACCAGUAACACGCACAUCCAAAAAUAUCCUUGUUGGUGAGCGAUAAAAGGUCUAAUUCACCCACGCUUUAAUAAUAGGUAAUUUACGCCUCGGUAAUCUUAGGGAAAUGCACGGUAAUGGAUAUCGCAUGUGAUAACGAUACUUAGCAGUUACGAUGGAAUAAUCAUUAUUAAAACGGUAAAUCAUUCAUUCCCGUUUCGUCUGAUUCUCCAUCACAUUCCACGAAGAACGUCAUUAAUGCGCAAUACCACCGCACAAUUAUGGAGAUGAAGGAAUAAAAAAAUACAUCGUUAGAAAAGGAGAACCUAGAAAAAGAGAAAAACCGUCUUUCGACCACACCCCGGGUCCAUUUUCGAUCGCGUCGAAAGACCGAUCGAUAUCUCGGUGCAGACCCAACUCGUGGAAACACGUAAUUUCGGAGCAAGUAAUUUAUACGUUACAGAAAAGGUAUCCUACAAUAUUUCUUUUAUUGCUAUAGAAAUAGAGAUCACAUAUGUUUAUAUAUAAAGCGAUAAUCAAAUUCGAUUUCCCACAUUAGGCUUUUGCCUGGAGCUCAUGCCAAAAUGUAGCGCGUUUGAUUGUCACGAAUAAAUAUGAACGUAUGACUUUGCCGCGUGUUUAUAUCGAAGAAUAAACUCCGUAUAAUUGUAACGAACUUUAUAGGCACUGUUACGAAGGACAUACCGAAUUACCGAGAUAAGUCAAAGCUAUCAUAAUCGCUAUCGAGCGAGAAACGCCGGGAAAUCGUGAUAACGCCUACUUAUAAGCAGAGACUCAACUUAUAAGGCGGUUGUUCCAUCGACUUACGAGAUCGAAACUUUCUUUCCAGGUCACUACCAUCCUCAGAGAAAAAUCACUCGUUAGUUUCGCCAAUUCCAGGAUUCUCAGCUGAGAUAUUUUGCAAGGGAAGAAUUGAUCGCCGAACAUUUCGUCUUACGCGAAGGAAAGCACUAUUGUACACAGGGUAUCAUGACUCCCCGACGCUCGACCGUAAAUUCUCACGCCAAUCUGAAGUCUACCCUUUCUCACUUCCGUAAAUUAAUAUACGAAAAAAAGGGCAGAAGCUGAUGAAAGGAAGAAGGCGCUCGUUAUCACUUUCCAGGAAUCUUUUUAAAGACUCUGGGCGAGCAACUUCUAAAAGUACACAAGAAUCCGGGAGACAUUCGAAGUGUCUUUGAAAAAUAUUCGCUAGGCAUUUACGAUUUGAGCCGAUUCGUUCUAAGGGCUCGCUUUUAAUCCGCCAUUGAAUGCACAUCGCUGUAGAAAAACGACAGUGUAACUCACGGCGAAGGGUGCACUGACCUGUCAGUUGACGCGUGCGAGUUUCUAGGGCGCAGGCAGGCGCGAACACUGUCGAACAGCAGGCGAACGUUGUUCAAGGGCAGGAACGAGACGGUAUACUGACUGACCGGUUAGUGCUUCUGCGGCACGUAACACCAGGUAACAGCGUUGAGCAGCGCCCGUCGUUUAUCCCCUUCCACCCGCUGCCUCUCCCUCCUCAAAGCGACAGGCCCCCUCGCCAGGAUCGGCGCAGAAAGGGGUUCGAUGGUGUACUUACAUUACCUUUCGAUGUUUUGAAAUAUUUGAACAAUCUGUAGUUAAUAACGUAAAUAAUUGUAACAAUAUCACACAAAGAGGAAUCUUUUAUCAUAUUAAUUUAAUUUUAUUCUAUUAUUCAUUACGUUGAAACAAAAAAUGAAAUAAGUUGAACGAUACUUGUACUUGAUAAAGUACAAGUAUCGUUCAACUUAUUUCAUUAAUUUAGAAUCGAUUGUUCAAUAUACAAUACAGACGACACAAAAAUAAUAUGUUUAUAUGUAUUACAGAAAUAUAUUCAAUUAUAAAUCGUAUCUCGAUUUUUUUGUCACAUAGCAUACAUCUGGAUUUGGCAAGUGUAUAUAUUCCUGAACUGUGGGACCCCACCGCUCUUGAAUCGAGACCAAUCGACGUUUAGCUCCUACCUCCCCAAUCGUGCCAAUUAAUUCGCGUCCCUCUUUUCUACGCAUUUCUUGCGAUCGUCUCCUUGACCGUCAUGCGGAGGGGUAACUGACUCACCCUUGGCGACGACUGGGAAUUUACGUUCGACGCGAAUCUAACAUUGAACGACGGUGCGAGCUUUUCUCUCGACAAUUUUUUUUUUUUUUACAUCGUUAUGUCGUUUAUCUUACGUUUUCCCUCUUGUUCUCCAACUAGACAAUCUUUUUCGCGAUGAUCUAUUCUCAAUGUGUUAGUGAAGAAAAAAAAAACAAGAGGAUACUAGGGGUUGACACAUCAGUGAGUCAUCGGAGUUUCGUGCGGGCAGCCCAUCUGCGCGUCAUAUGUUCGCCUGGUUACCUUAAGGUUUCGCUUAGCUGAAAAUCCGAAAUAACUGGAUAGAAACAGAUACGAUUUUAUCGAAGUUCUUUUCAGAUUCAGCAGUAUUCGAUAUAGUAAAUACACGAUCAUCUGCAUUAGUUCAAAGCUUAAUUGUGUAUUUUCUGAUUUUUCUGAAUUGAAUUCUUGAAAUUUAAAAGUUUCAAUAGUGCGAUGUUAAAUAUCUCCAACUCCCUCUUCUUUGUAUACUAAACAAUUGUUUUCUAUAAAUAAUAAUAUACAAACAUGUAAUUCGAGGAUAUUCAUGCAUGUAGAUAUGUUCAAAGUAAACUAGGAACAGUACAGGGAAUGGCGGAUAUAAAACAUCGUGCAUUGACAUGAACUUUUAUUGACAGUUAAGAUACCUCUUACCACUAAAUUUAAUACACAUCACAUAUUUUCUUAUUGUAAUAUAACCGUUAGGAAUAUAUACAAAAAGCCGUUAGAAGGGGAAACUCGUAUUAUUAUAUGGUGACACAUUGAAAAUUCGUAGUUUCAGAGGUAUGAAUAAAGAAUACUUAUCUAAAUGCGCGAAUUAUUUAAGUCGAUUGAUGUGUAUCGCUAAACCUAAUCUGAUAUCUAAGAAAAAGUAAUAAAAAAAAUGAAAGAAGCUUAAGACAUGGCUAACUUGAUUU